rnacentral:rRNA from 1 species
GACGAACGCUGGCGGCGUGCUUAACACAUGCAAGUUGAGCGAGGAUGGUUCGAGAGACUUAUGUUGAUUGGAACAUUCAAGCAGCGGACGGGUGAGUAAAGCACAAGGACUUGUCCGAAAGAGAGGGACACCUGCGGGAAACCGGAGCUAAUACCUCAUAAGCCGGAAGGUGAAAAGCAGAGAUGCGCUUUUGGAGAGACUUGUGUCCUAUCAGGCAGUUGGUGAGGUAACGGCUCACCAAACCGAAGACGGGUAGCCGGACUGAGAGGUCGACCGGCCACAUUGGAAACUGAGAGACGGUCCAGACUCCUACGGGAGGCAGCAGUGGGGAAUAUUGGGCAAUGGGCGCAAGCCCUGACCCAGGCGAACGCCCGCGUGAGGGAA